GAGAAAUUUCAAGUUUGUCUAAGUGUUUUAACUCAGUUUGACAGUGUUUGUCUUAUUCUGUAUGAAUUUUUUCUCUUGCAUUAAGUUCAUGAUUUAAUUUUCUUUGAAACGAAAAGGGCUAAGGGAUCUGAGCUUAGGCCCAAAGGACUUGUCUAAGGCCUAUGGGGCGGAUCGUCCAUCUCUUGCUGAUAUACCCAGAAUGAAGAGCGGCAUGGAAACAAAAGAGAAAGGGUGGAAGGGACAAGAAGAUGAGUGUAUUCGGAGGGGAUGGCUGGGGAUGAGAAGAAUAGAUCAAGUUGUUAUCGGAGGGGUUGAUGGGUCAUGUUAUAAGAAGCUCUCUACCGGAAAAUACGCCUGUAUUGUCUGCCCUCACAAUCCCAUCCUCUAUUCACCUCUCAUGCUUCUGUACGAAUUACUUUUAUUCACUCUCUUCCUUUCAAAUCUCUUUCAUUUGGCUUCAUUCUUUAUUUCAUAAUUAUAUGUCGGCUUCUACUGAAAAAAAAAAAAAAAGAAACAGAUUAUUGAAAACCCUUGUCCAUAAUCAAUAAUUGGAAAGAAAGAAAAAAUUUUUUUGGUAUUUUGGUUAUUCGGGUAGCAUAAUUCCGUGAACUGAUUAGAAGGCAGCUUGUUGCCUACUAUCAUGAAUUUGGGAUAUAAAUGUAUUCGAUAGUUAACCCAUUUUUUUUCUUUUGAAAGAAUACCCCUUGAGAGCUUCCUGAAUUGAGGCAACUUUGGUGGAAGGAAAUGUUUUUUAUCUAAUGGUUACAACUAUGUCACCUUCUUUCCUAUAUUGUAGGGUAGCCAUUUGAUAAGGCAAUUUUCCAUCUUUCCAUUUUCCUUUCUGCAUUGAAUUAGUUGCCUGUUUGAAUGAACUGGGAGUUUAGAAUUCAUAACUUGUUACUUGAUUGAAGAUUGACUAGGAACCCAUUGGAAAACUGGCGCUUACAGAUGAGCAAUCUCGUUCAUGUUGGAAGCAGUCCAGUACUUGUGGACUUGGUAUGCAAAAUUGAGUGCUGGCUGUGUUAUACAAUACUCAAUAACCCUUCUUAAACCUUUGUUUCUAUGCUAAUGCCUCUCUGGAGCGGGAGGAACAAUGUACUGGAUGUAGCUAUUGAAUCAUGCUCUGUAUCUUCACAAUGCCGUUGUCUGAUGGAUCUACUUCCUAGUUCCAUGAUGCGGUACAUUGUAUUUCACUGUUGAUAUGGCAGGAGGUGUAAGAGUCAAAUGAAAGGGAACCAUGUUACCUGCAAUGGAUGAAAUAUAAAAGGCUGAAAUGAUCUCUACUCUCGUGUCCCAGUGUUCUUUGUAAAUGUUGAAUCGGAGACAAAAUUGUCUUCAAUUAUCCCCCAUUAAAUUUCUAAUGAACCAAAAGGGUCAUCUUCUAAAGUACAAACCAUCACUGUAGUUACGAUCAAAGAGGAACUGUAUGCCAGCUCAGGAGACAUGCAAUGGGUUCGGAUAGGAUCGGACAACAAAUUAACAACCAAGGAUAGGUUGCGGACAAGAAAUCAAUAACGACACUCCUGAUGGAUUGGCGGAGGAUGCCAUACCAUCACUUACAAGCAAUAUUGACAUUUUGACCCCAAUGAAGCACAAAUUUCGCCACAAACUGCAUACAAACGACACUGUUAUGUGAUAUUUUCCCCAUAAAUAGACAUUGCUUGUAAUGUCAUUCUCACCUCUUUUCUAUUAAAUGAAUACGUCUAUAUUCUGAUGGCUGUUUAUAUCUAUCAGAAUCUCUUUAUUUUCAUUGUUCCAAAAUGUUUAGGGACCAUUUUGGAAGUUUUGUUGUACGUUUGUAUAUAUACAUACUGAUUAGUAGUA